UAAAACACCUGGAGCGGAGGAGAGCACAGAGGAGCUGAAAUCCAAAGUGAUGUUCCGUUUUUCUUUAUUAAACUGCUAAAUGGAGGGAAAAGUACGAGCAGAGAGGAGGUGGAGAAAGAAAAGACAGCGCAGGAUGACAGAAAGAAACUGAGGCUCUGAUGAGGCUAAACACUGAUAACUUCACUUAUCUUCAUGUGUGAACGCUGAUUGCUUGUUAGCUUGGUGAAGCUGCUUCAGCUCCACCUCUUUUCUGAUUAGCUGGGAGUCAGGUGGAGUCAGGCUGUGAUCUUUUGUUCACUGAUGUAAGAAUAAAGUGAUUUUUUAUAACACAUGCCCUCAACAUGAAGUCAAACAAAGUCUAAGCACGUGCAGAAUAAUCUCCCCGAGCGUCGGCAGGAAACAGUUUGUCUUCAGUCUCACCUGAGCCGAGAACAAACAGAGUCGAUGUCAGAAACCGCAGCAGGAGAAGUUUCUCUGCACAGCAGCUGGAGUUCUCAGAAAUACAGCAGGUGCUCUGCUGUGACGAGUGGAAAAUCAUCGUCGCUGAUGAAGAACAGUGAGAGCAGAAACUACGAGCUGUACGACAGACAUUAAAACAUCAACAGUUCUGGACAAACAUGGCGUCCCUGCUGACGUCUCAGGAGGCUUCAGGACUUCUUCAGGUCCACGAGCUGCUUCAGCUCAACACAAUCAGAAGUUUGUUCCUCAAGUUUGAUUUCUAAUCAGCUCCAGUGAGUGAGACCUCCAAAGUUAUAAUUAAAUUAAUGUUUAUUUUGUGGGCGCAGAUUAUAUUUAUAACACCUUCUUUCAAUAUUUUUGAAAAUCAGUUAUCUGUUGUUCAAACCAAUGACGCCUGCGUGUCCUGCGGUUCUUACGGACACUUGAACUGAGCGCAGACUCUCGUGGACAGUCGUGAUGUUUAACAGUGUUUAGCUGAAUAACAACAUCAGUGUUUCUGCAGAACUCUGACAGUCGAUGUUCUGACGGGCUGAGCGGAGCGUGGAGAGCUGAGGGGGGAGACACCGUGACUCACCCGUUACUCACACAUCAUGAUUUCUGCUUUGUGACACAUUCAGACUUUCCAGAUUUAACAGCACGUUUCUUUCUUUGGCCACGUCUUGUUUUUCUCUUUUUGAUUGUUGUUUCGAGGGGAAAUUCCCCCUCAGAUGUCAGAAGUCCUCCAUCGCCUGUGUGAUCCUGCUGCAGAUGCACUUAAAGCUCCUCUCAGCAGUGUGGAAAGUAACUUUACUCAAGUUCUACGCUGAAGUGCAUUUUUGUGGUAUUUGUACUUUACUUAAAUUUUAAAAUGUUCUGCUUGUUUAUAGUUCUUGUUAAUUAUGUGCUUUUUGACCCACAACAAAUAUCUGAUAACUUCAGUUAUGUUUCAGAUUAAUCUACAAAAUAAAACCAACAAAUAACAAUCAUAAUAUUUUUCAGAGGUUAAGAUAGAAUAAAGGUGAAACUACGCAGCAGUAUAUAAAACUGACUCCACCUUCACCAGCUGCAGCGUUUAAGUGAU